UGACUUCCGGGCCCUGUAGCCAUGCUAUGACGGUAUGUACGCAACUAAUUUAUAACACUCAACUUUGUUUUCAAUCCAGGUGGAUACGAUCCAGAUUCAAGUAAGAGUGGUGAAAUGAUACCGACAGGAACUACUUAUGUACUUGACCUCACCACGAAAGAAUGGGAAAGUAAACAGGACAUGAUCUGUGCUCGAGCACACCAUGGUGUUGUAACUAUUCGUGGCCGUAUUUAUGCUAUCGGUGGUCGUGAUAGCAGAGGGAGUAUACACACCGGAAAUAGACGCCUGGGAAAUGGAGAGACCAAUGCCCAUACCACGCAUGGGUCUGGGUGUAGUGACCUACAUGGGAUUUAUCUGAGUACUUGAUGGGUUGACGUCGUUUCCAGAAAAUUCUGAUUCACCAGUUCUUGAUAGCGUGUUGUGCUAUGAUCCAGUAACUAAAAUAUGGUCAUCUCGUCCUCCGCUGCCAAUGGCUAGGGCUUACUGCUCAGCCGUAGUUGCACAAGAUAGACUGUGGGUUGUCGGCGGUUGUUGUGUUUCUCGGUCCAAUAAAAACCACCUAGUGAGCACAGGAUUGCUCGAUAUUUAUAAUAUGGACUGUAAUGAAUGGGAAAAUAGAGCCGAGCUACAAAUACCGAGACAUUCUGCUGGGGUUGUUGCUUUUGAAGCCUUUAUCUAUGUUAUUGGAGGUAUAAGCAGUAAAGAAUGGGGCCAGUUUCAAAAACUGAACUCUUCAUGUUGGAUGACGAAAGCAUCAGAAAACCGAAAGAAAUCCCUGUUCCUUUAACUGGUGUGUCAGUAAUUGCCAUACCUCCAGUAGAAGCUGUUUU
rnacentral:lncRNA from 1 species